AUUGUACGCUGGCGGCAGGCCUAACACAUGCAAGUCGAGCGAGCGGCGGACGGGUGAGCAAUGUAUCUGCCUCUGCCCGAUAGAGGGGGACAACUACUGGAAACUGUUGCUACUACCGCAUACCUUCGGAUGGACCCAUAUGGGAUUAGCUUGUAGGGGGGGUAAAGGCUCACCUAGGCGACUAUCUGUAGCUGGUCUGAGAGGAUGAUCAGCCACACUGGAACGGAGACACGGCCCAGACUCCUACGGGAGGCAGCAGUGGGGAAUAUUGCACAAGGGGCGCAAGCCUGAUGCAGCCAUGCCGCGUGGUUGAAGAAGGUCUUCGGGUUGUAAAGUACUUUCAGCGGGGAGGCGUUACCAGCAGAAGAAGCACCGGCUAACUCCGUGCCAGCCGCCGCGGUAAUAC
rnacentral:rRNA from 1 species